ensembl:lncRNA
AAAGUCUUAUCUAUUGCACUGUGUGGAGAGCUUUACGUGAAAGCUGGAUUGAAGCCUGCCAAACCCAACAAGAGCCUUUCCAGCAAGUCCAUGGGGGAACAGCGCUGUGAAUAAGAAGUGGGAUGCUAUCACAGAUGCAUGGCAAGAGAUGACAGAGUUUUUCUGUCACUCUCAGAAAUCCCACUGAAUGCACAUUUUUAAUUCAUGGUAGAACCUGCUACAGUUCCUCCUGAUAUCAUUCAACAAAGAUACAAUGGGAUCUCUGCUUUGCAAGAGGAGAGGAAACACGACACGGGAAUGUUCUCUAAGCUUCAAGCAGCACUGCAGCGCUAGUGGAGCAGAUUACUUACUUUUGCUAAGAAAAAAAUGCUUCAGCAAGAAGAUGUUGCCACUGGCUCUCAGCUGCACGAAGAAAAGCUUUCAGAAUAACACUUGGAGCAUCCAAUUUAGAUAAGGAUAAGUUCUAUUUGGAAAACUUUGGAGAAUACUAGGAUAAGAAGGUUAUCUGCUGACCAGCUGAAUGACAGUCAAGGAAAUGUUUUACUCCUGUAAGGACAUCAUAGCUAAUGGAGAAUAGGAAGAUAACAUCACACUCUGGAAGAGAGAUACACGUGGGUUAUCAACCAAACACCAAACAAUGUUUCAUCGCUUAGAUUCUACUCCCAGCAAAGAAAGAUGAAAGUGGAAAUAUUUUGCUAGGUUUUGUUUCAGCUACUUCACAUCUGAACAUGCAUUGCUGACCAAAGCUCAGCUCUGGAUAUCUAAGGCCUUCUGACUCAUCAUUGAUCUUCCUUACCUUUUGCAAUCAUUUAAAGAAUACAGCUUGACUCUUUAUCACACAUGGGAAGACAAGCAUGAGCACUAGAAUAUGUGUGGCUGAGAAUAUUACAUUACCAGAAACUCAGAGAUGCUCUUAGAGAAGGCUCAGCAUGAAGAAGCAGGAGGAGCUAUGAGAAUUGCCUACAAACAGAAGGCCAAAAUCACAAUCAAGGGCUGAUAGGCAACUGCAGGAAAAUAAGACAGUUGUAGGCAAAAGAAGAAGCCAGUUAUGGGAAGGAAAACUGAGAGGUAAGGUGGUCAAGGGCUGAAAACAAUACAGAGGAGAAACAACUGUAAAGCUUCUUGAUAGGAAUUUGUUUCCUGCUCAUCAUUUCUCCUGUGAUUGUGCCUUAAUGUGUUAGGCGUGGACCAUACUGUAAUAUAGACUGGGAAAUUACAUGCUACUGAUUUUCUGAAGAGACAAAAUCAUACCUGAAGUGUCAAGGACAAAAAUCUUUUAUACUCACUUCCACUCUACAACCCCCCAAAAUAAGUACCAUGAGAAUUGUCAAUGGUAGGAUAGUAGCUCACAGGACUUUUCUCUCCAGUAUCUUUCUACAAGAAAACUGAUCUCAGACCUAUUUUUUAUUAAUACUUGAUGUUAUGUUUUGACAACAUAAAAUGUAUGCUAGUAAACCAAAGCCCAUCAAUGAUGAAAUGAUUUUAGAAACAAAGGCACCAUAACAGAAUGUGCUAUGAACUAGAGAUUUAUAGCUGUAUGUACAGGAUUUCAUAAGACAGUAAAGUUCCCCGUUCUGUAGGUUAGAGUCUUAACAUUGAUUUCAAUACCAUCACAUACCUAAUUUUUAGAAGCCCUAGCAAGAGUUUACUGUCUGCUUGCAAUUAGAUUUACAUAGCAACUGUGUGCUAAAAAAUACUGAAGUUUCUUGUGCUGAUAGCCUUAGUAGAAAUAACUAUCCAGGCAACAAACCAAAAUUUUACAAUGCAAGACUUACAUAGAUUAUAGAAUUUCUUUUAAUGUACUUAACCAAAGUAAAGCUUAACAGUACUCCCCUGCCAGAAUAAAAAUUUAUCAUACAAAAACUGCCCACGUAGCUGAAUAAAUGGAAAUGUUUCAUACUAGUUAAAUAAUAUAUGCAGUCUCAUACAGAGCAAUAAAGUGACUAUCAUCAGAAUUUCAUAUUGACAAUG